AUUGAACGCUGGCGGUAUGCUUAAGACAUGCAAGUCGAACGGAGCCCUUCGGGGUUCAGUGGCGGACGGGUGAGUAACACGUGGGAAUCUACUGAGUAGUGGGGGACAGCCCGGCGAAAGCCGGAUUAAUACCGCAUACGCCCUACGGGGGAAAGGAGCAAUCCGCUAUUCAAUGAGCCCGCGUAAGAUUAGCUAGUUGGUGGGGUAAAGGCCCACCAAGGCGACGAUCUUUAGCUGGUCUGAGAGGAUGGCCAGCCACAUCGGGACUGAGACACGGCCCGGACUCCUACGGGAGGCAGCAGUCGGGAAUAUUGGACAAUGGGCGCAAGCCUGAUCCAGCAAUACCGCGUGUGUGAAGAAGGCCUGCGGGUUGUAAAGCACUUUCAGUUGGGAAGAUAAUGACGUUACCAACAGAAGAAGCACCGGCUAACUCCGUGCCAGCAGCCGCAGUAAGAC
rnacentral:rRNA from 1 species